ensembl:lncRNA
GAUCUAUCUAGCCUGGUUGCUUUAUAGGGUCAAUAAUUUGCAGUAAUCAGCUUAGAAGUUGAGCAAGGUAAGAAGCAAAUUGACCUCUUCAAGGAGUCUGACUAUUUCAGACAUCUAAAGUGCUGUGAUUCAGAGGAGCUGAAAGUAUUUUUGGAUGCAGGCUUCCAGGUUCCUCCCCUGUGAAUUGUAAAAGUUCAAAGAUGUCAGUGCUGUUUCUUGGCAUGUAUAAAUGUAGAGUAAUGGGUAAGACUAAUGGGAAAACUGAGACUUAACUGGGUAAGGUACAGUGUUAGAAUAUAUAAUAUCUGGCUGCAGAAAGGCAAGUGAUACUGGAAAGUUAAGAGGGAAAGGUGCAAAAGACAUUGAAGAGCACAAUAUUCAGAGAGAAUGGAAAAGUCACAAGGGAACAACCCCUAGAAGAAGAGCUUCAGCAUCUAGCCCGAUAAAAUUGCCAGGUGAUUAAUUUUAAAAAAAUAAUCGUUUCUGCAGAACACGAGUAAGAGUGCAGCAGGAUCGCCUGUCAUCGCCUGUGGUGGGGGUGGAGAAACCUGGUCCUUCCAUGCCACCUAGUGUAGGAAGCUGAGCAGCAGCCCUGCGAGGAUGGGCUCUGCAAGGUGGGGUCGUUAAGCAGGAAAUAACGGAGACCUGAAGCCUGCCACGAAAUGAGCCACCUCUGCCCUGCAGGUUGACAAAUGGCAAGCUGGCAACACUGGAAACAGAUUUCCCAUUGAUCCACAAAACAGCUUAUUCUAGCCAUGAGUUUCUUCACGUAAUGAAAUUCCACCUACGGUAAAUCUUCUGAGUUCCUGGCUGUUCCUGAGGUUUAACUCUUCCAAGUCUGGCUCUGCUGAUCUGUCUCCCUCUGUAUCAAUUUAAUUGCAACUCUUUAUGAGAUUGGUAUAGCGGUUCCAUCCUGGAUGUCCUGGACAGGAAUUUUCUUCUGUGUGUGUCAAAUCCAGUUGGAUGAAUUAUGAAUUAAUUAGGUCAGCUCUAUUCUUUAUAGUUCUCUGCUCUAGCUCUAGCACCAAGUUAGGUGCUGUCAGUAAGAAGAAACUGUUUGACCUACUGCAUCUACCUAAGCAACAGAAAGUAGUCUGAACAGAACAUCAGCAGAGAGGUGGUGAUUGUAGUAAAAGCACGAUGAACUGAUGUGUGCAGGAAGCCAACAGACCUUCCCUGGAAGCUUUGGUCAAAUUCUAACUGUCCAGACACAAUAUUAGAGAGCUUUCUCUAGGUACUCCUAUCUUCAAGGUUCUGGGGAUUUUUCCUAUGUAUUUUGAAGUCCUUUCCUUGUGGCAGCCUUUUCUGUCUUAAGAAUAUUUAUCAGCUAUUUGGGAACUUUGUAUUACAUCUGGAAACAAACAAACACAAACCCUGCUAAUUUAUUGAGUAAAAAAGAGCAGAGCAUCUCCUGCAUAAACUUUCCAACCUCUAUUUCAUGCCACUGUGCCUAAAGUACAACAUUUUCUGUGGAAUAUGAGAUCUAUGUCUUCUCCAGGCAGAAGCUGUCCAGCAAGUUUAUAAUAAUGACUGUGAAGUCACCAGAUGCAAUCAUCUGAAUCCCCUCUGCCUGUAAAUCACGAAGGCAUUUUAUCUUUGUGAAAUUAAACUUAAUUCCAAGCAGACAAAUUCAGCUUGAAUAGUUGAUUUGUCUGAGGAAAGCCUUUGAGAACAUACCAAAGAACUGCUAACUUUGUACUUAAGAUAUUAGAGUACUACGAUUUACCUAGUUAUGCUCUUCUUCUUAAAGAGCUCUGCAUUACUGAUCAAUUUUACACUACAACACAAAUGUGACUUCAGUAGCCCGAUCAACAGGCUGAGCACCUUCUCUUUUCCUCUAUCUGUAGGGAAGAAAAAGAAGAAAAUUUUUUCAGGAACAUUCCUUUCACUAUGUUUCGGAGUAUUUAAUAUUUUAAAUACAGAAUAUUUUUCUUAGUUACUGCUCACUAUUUGUUCGUAAAUACUGUCUUGAUUUUUAAUUAGCAGCUUGACAAUUCAGCAAAGAAAUUAACCUGAGAAGAGAGGUGGAGUACACACUAAAUAAACAAGAAAGCAGAGGGGGAAAUUAGUGUAGAAAUGAAGUGACUCACUCAGUGUCUGUGCUGGAGUCAGAAAGUCACAAACAGGAAACAAAUUGGAGUUGAAGAACAUUUUAUCAUCUAGUGAAAUAAGUUUGCAGGGUCAUAAUUUUUCCAUCUAUUCAUUCUUCCCUCGCUUUUCUCCAGUGCAGAUUGCUGAGCUUAUGUAAACCAACAUCCUUCUUUGAUUCAUUCAAACUGCUCUUCAGAAUUCCUCAACUUACAACUGAUGAAAGCAUUAAAAGGAGAGCUACUUGGAUGGACCUAAAAGGU